rnacentral:rRNA from 1 species
GAUGAACGCUAGCGGCAGGCUUAACACAUGCAAGUCGAGGGGUAUAUGUCUUCGGAUAUAGAGACCGGCGCACGGGUGCGUAACGCGUAUGCAAUCUACCUUUUACAGGGGAAUAGCCCCAGAGAAAGUUUGGAUUAAUGCCCCAUAGUAUAAUUGAAUGGCAUCAUUUAAUUAUUAAAGUCACAACGGUAAAGAUGAGCAUGCGUCCAUUAGUUAGUUGGUAAGGUAACGGCUUACCAAGACAAUGAUGGGUAGGGGUCCUGAGAGGGAGAUCCCCCACACUGGUACUGAGACACGGACCAGACUCCUACGGGAGGCAGCAGUGAGGAAUAUUGGAC